GGAGGGCAUGAGGGGGCCUGCUGGUAAGUGCUCUAGUGGUCCGGUGGCUCAGAUGCUAUGCUGAUUGUCACUUAUAGAGAAACACAAGUGUGCCCUAUCAAGCCUGGGGGUUGGACCAUAGUAGUAUGUCACUUAUAGAUCAUGUCUAAACUUCAGCCAACUUUCCUUUUCUUUCUCUCUCAGUCUCCAGUCCCAGUCAGUGCCCACACCAGGCCACUGAGCCUGAGCGUUAUAAUGUGGGGUCAGAUGUGAGGACUGUUAUAAUGUGGGGUCAGAUGUGAGUUUGGGGCUGUUAUAAUGUGGGGUCAGAUGUGAGGGCUGUUAUAAUGUGGGGUCAGAUGUGAGGACUGUUAUAAUGUGGGGUCAGAUGUGAGGACUGUUAUAAUGUGGGGUCAGAUGUGAGUUUGGGGCUGUUAUAAUGUGGGGUCAGAUGUGAGGACUGUUAUAAUGUGGGGUCAGAUGUGAGGACUGUUAUAAUGUGGGGUCAGAUGUGAGUUUGGGACUGUUAUAAUGUGGGGUCAGAUGUGAGGACUGUUAUAAUGUGGGGUCAGAUGUGAGGACUGUUAUAAUGUGGGGUCAGAUGUGAGUUUGGGGCUGUUAUAAUGUGGGGUCAGAUGUGAGGACUGUUAUAAUGUGGGGUCAGAUGUGAGUUUGGGGCUGUUAUAAUGUGGGGUCAGAUGUGAGGACUGUUAUAAUGUGGGGUCAGAUGUGAGGACUGUUAUAAUGUGGGGUCAGAUGUGAGUUUGGGGCUGUUAUAAUGUGGGGUCAGAUGUGAGGGCUGUUAUAAUGUGGGGUCAGAUGUGAGGACUGUUAUAAUGUGGGGUCAGAUGUGAGUUUGGGGCUGUUAUAAUGUGGGGUCAGAUGUGAGGACUGUUAUAAUGUGGGGUCAGAUGUGAGGACUGUUAUAAUGUGGGGUCAGAUGUGAGGACUGUUAUAAUGUGGGGUCAGAUGUGAGGACUGUUAUAAUGUGGGGUCAGAUGUGAGGACUGUUAUAAUGUGGGGUCAGAUGUGAGGGCUGUUAUAAUGUGGGGUCAGAUGUGAGGACUGUUAUAAUGUGGGGUCAGAUGUGAGGACUGUUAUAAUGUGGGGUCAGAUGUGAGUUUGGGGCUGUUAUAAUGUGGGGUCAGAUGUGAGGGCUGUUAUAAUGUGGGGUCAGAUGUGAGGGCUGUUAUAAUGUGGGGUCAGAUGUUUUUUUUCUUCAGUGAUUUCGUAUCAAUGAUUCC